rnacentral:rRNA from 1 species
AGUCACUGACAUUAGAUACCCCCGUAGUCCCAGCCCUAAACGAUGCGCGUUAGGUGUAUCGGUGACCACGAGUCACCGAGGUGCCGAAGGGAAACCGUGAAACGUGCCGCCUGGGAAGUACGGUCGCAAGGCUGAAACUUAAAGGAAUUGGCGGGGGAGCACAACAACGGGUGGAGCUUGCGGUUUAAUUGGAUUCAACGCCGGAAAUCUUACCGGGACCGACAGCAACAUGAAGGCCAAGCUGAAGACUUUUGCCGGAUUAGCUG